UGACAACUGAGAAAGCUGACUGAUUGAAACGUUAUGAUUUUUUUGGCCAUUCAACGGUAGCGUUUAAUGAGACGAGAGACAAGCAAGCUGAAAACUUAAAGAUGACUGAAGCUGAUCAUCAACUCCCUGAGACAAUGAAUCCCAGUAAUUUCCCUGCCAAACUGUGGCGUAUGGUAAACAACCCUGCCAACAGUGCCAUCUGCUGGGACAAUCUGGUGAGGUUAUUGUUAUCGACCAGCUACUUUUUGAGCAACUCAUCCUAUCUCAUGAUUGCUUAAAUAAUGAAGACAACUGCGACACCUUCAAAACCAGGCACUUCUCCAGCUUUGUUCGCCAGCUCAACCUGUAUGGCUUCAAAAAAGUAGACUCAGCCUCCACAACUCACUUUUCAUGACUUCCCUUGAGAGGAAAAGCUCCAUUCAUCAUUUUCAUAACCCAAACUUCAGGCGCAACUACCCUGUACUUCUUGUUAAUCUAAAAAGAUUAACAGUUGAUAAUAAGGCUAAAAUAGAUAGUGGUAUUAAUGUGAAGUGUAGAGCUCCAAGUAAACACCAGCGCAGCGAUGGAGAUGAUAGCAACGUUGACAACCUUUUGAUGGAGGGAGGCGCCUCUUCUGUUGGUAGAGGCUUUGGAGAUAACAGCUUAGAGAAAUUGUUGAUGAAGGGAGGUUCCACUUCAGUUGUUAAAGGACGCAAGGACUCGCCUCACCCAUACAGAAAGCAACCAAUGCCAUCCCACGAAGGAACCCCAGUCCUUCCAUAUCACCUGCACCCUAUGAGUCAUCCCUAUUGUGCAAAAUUGUCUACUCCCCACCAGCAGGGUGCGGGAUAUGCUAACCCUAAUUUCACAGGAAUACGGCCGCAAAAUGAACAGUACCAUCCUGGCUUUUACUCCUCAGCUUGUCAAUGCUACCCACCUGGACUUAUGGCUUUGCCCCAUGGUAUGCAACCAGGACCCUUUAUGCCCAUUGGCUUCUUCCCGCCCUGUUACCCCAUGAUGGACCUUGGAAGGGAUUGUCAGGGAUCUGACUCACAAGGCAAGAAUAAACAAACGAUGAAAAAGGCCGAUAUAAACCUGGACACAGUCUUCCAAAUUGCUGAUGAAGUGAUGCUACCUCAACCAAAUAGCAACUUGAUCAAAAUUGAGGUUCCAGAGAAAGUAUUCACAUCAGAUGACCACACAGUGGUAUCUGAUCCUGUGCAGACACCCAAAGAGGCCUUAUCUGAGGUAAACAUACAUUUUGCAAUAUGUUGCAUUAUAAAUCGUAUGAAUUUGUUCUGCCUUUUCUCUAUGACAAUGUUAUUAGGGCACCAAUGAGGAAUUAGACAGAAGUGAGGUGAUACAAGUAGAAGUUAGUAAUACCAGUGACAGCGAAUCCUGUCAGGGUUAGAAUACACUGCAGGUAAGACACUGCAAGGAAGGCAGGUUCAGUUUAUGAUCCAUACAUAAGGGAUUAUUUACAGUUGAUGUAUAUAAUAUUUUCUUUUUUAGAUCACAUUUUAAAGGCACAUAGCAAUGUCUUUGUUCACCCCUCAUAGUCGAAUGGUUUUCCUUGUCAUUUAAUUAUCUUCUAGUUUACUUAUUUCAAAGAUGCACAAUGGUAGAUACAUACUCUUUUAGAGAACAGCAUUGAUUUGUGUUUAUUACAACUGUAUUGAAUUUUAUUCACAUAUUUUGUGUAGUUGAAUAAAGCGAGUGGCCAUAAUUGAUUUUAUUUUUUGCAACUCUUAUUUGUUUUGGAAGUGGUAACAAUGGU
ensembl:lncRNA